AUGCAAAAGCAAAAUACAUUUAAUUCGAAAGACAAAAUGAUGAACAAACAAACCGCUACCCAAUCUCCGGCAGCCAUGAGAAAUCCUUCGUCUGUACACAAAAGUUGCAGGUUUUUGUUUUUGUUUUUGUUUUCUGUUUGUUUCUUUUCGCCAGUGCCACAAAACGGAGAUACUGUAAUCUCUCCAUCUACUAUUUACAGGGUAAUUACCAAAGUUCCAAAUUCUUCAACUUCAUAUUCACAGAGUCAGAGAGAAGAAUCGAAGGCCGCCGAAAUCAAUUUCCCAUUAGAAAACAACAAAAAGAAUCGAAUUCCAUGCAGAGUUGGACUCCGCCACAGCUUCACUUAAC
rnacentral:lncRNA from 1 species